ACGUGACUCACUUUCCCUUCCACCUAAGCCAUCACCUGGGGAGAAGUAGAAAAGCUUGGGCUGGGCUGCUGCAGAGACUGCUGGGAAGACAACUCCUGUGGAAAGCGAAUGGCUGGUGCUGCCUUUCUGGAAGCUGUGGUUCCCAGCCUAAGCUUUCUUACUACGCUGCUCUCCAGCUCUGCCCUCCGAAUUGGAGACUUAAGGACAACAGAGCUCUGAAGAUGAUGUGCUGCUAUGACGCCUAGGGAAACAGAGUUUUACAACAAACUAGAACUGUAGGAGUGACUCCAAUGUUCAAGGAAAUUAACAGGACUCCAGGAGGGAUGCCUGGGAACCUCCAAUUUAUAGCCAGAAGGUCAGAAGAACAGGGGACACCCUGGACUUGUGGAGCUUACACUCUUGAAGAGGGUGGCAAGCACGGUAAUGAAGAAGUCUGUAUGAGCAGAGAGACAAAGUUUGAGUUUCGAAAGCAUUUUGGAGAAACAACUUUGAGAGUGUUGUUUUCUCCUUUCCUUCUGAAUGAGAAGAAAGACUAUAUCCAAAACAGCAGCCAGAGGACGGGGUGAAUCUUGAAGCCACUCCCUCCACCUCACACUCAUUCUUGUGUCUAGUUGUUUAUAGCAUCUGUUUGCACUUCAAAUUUGACUAUCUGUUGUCAACUUCAGCUCCACAUGAGGAAGAUAGAUUCCCCUUAAAAUUUUUCCUUACUUUUUCCUACUUGUGUAACAUCCGACUAACUGGAUAAAAAGGUCAUUUUGCUGACAGCUCAAGUAAGGACAUAAAAUGAUUUUCAGUGCAUUUCUCUUUUGAUCGACAUUUAUAUUUGGUUGUAAUAUCUUGCUGCUUCUUCAUAUAGUUCCGCCAGGCACUCUCCCUGUGUCACCUUCAGGACUGUCCUAGGUGUCAUUUCUUCUAGAACUCCUUCUGGAACUGUCACUGCACAGGAUAUUCUUUCAAUACUUUUCUUCUCAUCCACGGAGCCUCUGCCCUGGCAAUCUAUCCUCAUCUCCAUGGUCAAAGGCGUUUUAGCACAUACCACACCCACUCCCAGCCCCUGGAAAUUUAUAUCCGUCUUCCCUUCCCACCAUACAUCAAGUCCCAGGUCCUUAUUUUAUACAUCAAAAUACUCCUGCUAAGUAAUAUGUAUUUCUUCUUCUUUUUCUAUUUUUAAAUCCAAUUUUCUGAACUUAUUCCCUGGAAGCCUAAUGUCAGUUUGUCUUUACUCCCAUCUUUGAGUUUUUUCCCCUUUCAAAGCAAUGCCUGAAAUUAUUUUCCUCUAAUGGCUGCCAAAAUCUCUGACUUUCUCUCUCUCUCUCUCCUUAAAUAGUGUCUAACUAUAUUUCACUUAUUUCAGAAAAUCUUUCUGGAUUGAUCAUUAAGGAGUUAACAAUGUUGCUUAGUUUAUUAUGCGUGUGGCUAUUUCUCCCAUUUUCCCCCUUUCUUUAGAUUUACCUUCUUGAUAAAUGUUAUGCUUUAUUUUGAUAUAGUGUACUUUUAUCAUUGUCUUUCAUAUGGUGGCCACACAUUUUCACUCUCCUCCUGAUACACAUAUAUCAGUAAGAAUUCUUGGUUUUAAGCAACAGAAAACACUUCCGAAUUAAGUCCAAAGUGAAAUUUUUGAUGGAUAUGGAGUAACUCUCAGAACCAACAACAAAAUUCUGGCUGGAGAUAGUGACAGAUACCAACAGAGGUAGGACAGCAGAAGAUAUGGCCACAUUCACAGCCGAAUAAAAGUUUGGUCAGAAUAUUUGCAUAGUCAUAGAAGGAUCUAGCAACCGGACUCUCCCUGACUCCACUGUGAAUUACUUCUAAAUUUUGCCCAAAUCUUCAGCUCCCCACCAAGAUUCCUAAUGUGAACACCAAUUAUCUGAGCAUAUGUUAGGUAUAAUCAAAUAGAACUUCAAUUGCACAAGGGUAAGGAGAAGCACCAUCAGACUCCUUGGCUUUCUGUUUUGGAAUUCAGAACACUGCCUCCUACGCACAGUGAUGGAGGAUUCCUCCUAAAUUGCAAGAAUGCUCAAAUAUUGGUGGUUAAAAAUCCACUGUUAAAGGGAUAUACACAUUACAGUAGCUUUCCACCUUUUGGUCACUACUUUAGAUUAUAGCCUAGGAAAUAGGAAACAUAUCUGUAUUAUUCUUAUAUGCUAUCAUCCCAGUUUUUAGGCAUGAUUUUAUGCUUUUGGACAAUGCUAUUAACAUGAUUCUUGCUUCAGUAUGAAUGCCUUUUUUAUAAGGUAAGAGUAAAUUUUCCUCUGUGAUUUAGCAUUUAACAGUGUUAUAUGUGCUAAAAUAAUAAAAUAAUUUUGCCUUGUUUUAAGUAGCAUGUGUGUAUGCUGAAAAUAUCUUUGGCUUCAAACAUUUGUCUUACCUUUGGUGUCUGAUUGAUUAGAAGCUCAAAACAAAACUUGUAAGUUUAUGUGUCUUGUAUAUUAACUUAAUUACCUGGUUCUAAUGUGCAAUCUGCUAGAUUUUAUUGGCAAGGUUUAUCACAACUUCUAAUGAGUCACAUCUUGCACCAAGCCACACUUCAAAAAGAAAGGAACCACAUAAUUAAAUCAGGUUUACUCCACUUAAACACAUUACACUGAUUAGAUGCUUUGGUUUAAUUUGCUGCGAAAAGAUAGGAAGUUUUAAAUUGUAUUAGUUAUUUCCAUUGUGCUUUACAUCUAUUUGAAGUAUGAAUCUAUUCGGGCUACGGAAGAGGAACUUAGCAUGUCUUUUCAGCAAAAUACAUGAAAAUUUUCAUCAGAUGGAAAUUGAGUGCAUAUAUGUGUGUAUGUGCAUUCUUAAACCCUGGGAUUAUUGAACCCUCAGAUAUUUAAUUCAAAAUAUUGUAUGUAUACCUCUAUGUUCAUUAGAUUCUCAAAGAGACU
rnacentral:lncRNA from 1 species